GUAGGCAGUACAUAUACUAAAACUGGAAUAGUACAGAGAAGAUUAUCAUGGCCUCAUGCAAGGAUGACAAGAAAUUUAGAGAAGUGUUCCAUAUUUUA
rnacentral:snRNA from 1 species